CACGGGGGGAGCAAGCGUUGUUCGGAAUUACUGGGCGUAAAGGGCGUGUAGGCGGUCAAGUAAGUGGAAUGUGAAACGCCUCGGCUUACCCGAGGACCUGCAUCCCAAACUGCUUGGCUUGAGUAUGGGAGAGGAUGAGGGAAUUCCUGGUGUAGCGGUGAAAUGCGUAGAUAUCAGGAGGAACACCAGUGGCGAAGGCGGCAUCCUGGACCGGUAUUGACGCUGAGGCGCGAAAGCUAGGGUAGCAAACGGG
rnacentral:rRNA from 1 species